UAUUCCUAACAAGAAGGAGAAACUGAUACUGGGAAACUCAGUAAACGGAACAUUACUAAAUAAUGGAAAUGCAGAUUUCUCUAAAGCAUCACAGAAUAUUGAGGCCAGAUUCCUCUGGACAAACUGAAACAAAAAUAUGAAAUGAAGACAUAUAGGUGUAACUUUAUCUUUCUCAAAAUAUCACACCAGAGCAUUAAACAAGAAACAAAUUAAAGAUGGCUAUAAAGCUAAACCAAAUACUGGAAAGAUUAAAUAUGGGUGUUUGUGUGUGAAGGGUAAAAGGAACUGUAACAUCCCAAAAAUUUUCCCUUUAAAAUUCAAAAUUUAAAAUAUUGUAAUAAUACAAUUACAUUAACGCCAUGUAACCUCGAACUUAAAUGUAUACAUAAGUUUUAAGCUCAUAGUUGACUGCAAAGAUCUCAUUGAAUCCCUCUAAUCUGUUCUUCCAAAUCUUCCUUCAUCUACACCAGAUCAUGCGACAAUCCUUCCUCUGCUCCCGUAUAACAAAUACGUUAUACGAUCAUCGCAAAAAUAUAGUUUUCCGGCACAAACAAACAAGUAAGGGA
rnacentral:sRNA from 1 species